GAUGAAGAACGUAGCGAAAUGCGAUACUUGGUGUGAAUUGCAGAAUCCCGUGAACCAUCGAGUCUUUGAACGCAAGUUGCGCCCGAAGCCAUUAGGCCGAGGGCACGCCUGCCUGGGCGUCACACGUCGUUGCCCCCCCAUCUACUCCUUCGGGAUUGCGGGGGGCGGAUGAUGGCCUCCCGUGCGCCUCGUCGCGCGGUUGGCAUAAAUGCCAAGUCCUCGGCGACGCACGCCACGACAAUCGGUGGUUGCGAAACCUCGGUUGCCCGUCGUGUGCGGUCGUCGAGCAUCGAGGGCUCGAAAAAAUUGUCGGGCUCCGGCUCGGCUUUCAACGCGACCCCAGGUCAGGCGGGGUUACCCGCUGAAUUUAAGCAUAUCAAUAAGCGGAGGA
rnacentral:misc_RNA from 1 species